AGUGAACGCUGGCGGUAGGCCUAACACAUGCAAGUCGAACGGCAGCACAGUAAGAGCUUGCUCUUACGGGUGGCGAGUUGCGGACGGGUUAGGAAUACAUCGGACUCUACUUUUUCGUGGGGGAUAACGUAGGGAAACUUACGCUAAUACCGCAUACCACCUACGGGUGAAAGCAGGGGAUCUUCGGACCUUGCGCGAUUGAAUGAGCCGAUGUCGGAUUAGCUAGUUGGCGGGGUAAAGGCCCACCAAGGCGACGAUCCGUAGCUGGUCUGAGAGGAUGAUCAGCCACACUGGAACUGAGACACGGUCCAGACUCCUACGGGAGGCAGCAGUGGGGAAUAUUGGACAAUGGGCGCAAGCCUGAUCCAGGCAUACCGCGUGGGUGAAGAAGGCCUUCGGGUUGUAAAGCCCUUUUGUUGGGAAAGAAAAGCAGCAGGUUAAUACCCCGCUGUUCUGACGGUACCCAAAGAAUAAGCACCGGCUAACUUCGUG
rnacentral:rRNA from 1 species